GACGAACGCUGGCGGCGUGCUUAACACAUGCAAGUCGAACGGAAAGGCCCUGCUUUUGUGGGGUGCUCGAGUGGCGAACGGGUGAGUAACACGUGAGUAACCUGCCCUUGACUUUGGGAUAACUUCAGGAAACUGUGGCUAAUACCGGAUAGGAGCUACUGCUGCAUGGCAGGGGUUUGAAAGUUUCGGCGGUUGGGGAUGGACUCGCGGCUGAUCAGCUUGUUGGUGGGGAAGUGGCUUACCAAGGCUUUGACGGGUAGCCGGACUGAGAGGGUGACCGGCCACAUUGGGACUGGGGUGGGGGCCAGACGGCUACGGGAGGCAGCGGUGGGAAACUUUGCGAGCUGGGCCGAAGCAUGGUGGAAGAACGUCGGGUGCGAGAUGACGGCUUUAGGGUAGUAACGCGUGUUAGAGUGUGACGAAGCGUGAGUGGCGGUAAUGGGUAAGGAAGCGCCGGCUAACUACGUG
rnacentral:rRNA from 1 species